rnacentral:rRNA from 1 species
AUUGAACGCUGGCGGCAAGCCUAACACAUGCAAGUCGAACGAGUGGCGGACGGGUGAGUAAUGGAUGGGAAACUGCCUAAUGGAGGGGGAUAACUACGGGAAACGGUAGCUAAUACCGCAUACCAUGGGAUGGGGCCAGGUGGGAUGAGCUAGUAGGUGGGGUAAAGGCUCACCUAGGGGACGAUGCCUAGCUGGUCUGAGAGGUUGAGCAGCCACACUGUAACUGAGACACGGUCCAGACUCCUACGGGAGGCAGCAGUGGGGAAUAUUGCGCAAUGGGCGCAAGUCUGAUCCAGCCAUGCCGCGUGUAUGAAGAAGGCCUUCGGGUUGUAAAGUUCUUUCAUCGGGGAGGCGUUACCCGCCGAAGAAGCCCCGGCUAACUCCGUGCCAGCAGCCGCGGUAAUAC